AGGGAAUCUUCCACAAUGGACGAAAGUCUGAUGGAGCAACGCCGCGUGAGUGAUGAAGGUUUUCGGAUCGUAAAACUCUGUUGUAAGGGAAGAACCAGUACGUCAGGCAAUGGACGUACCUUGACGGUACCUUAUUAGAAAGCCACGGCUAACUACGUGCCAGCAGCCGCGGUAAUACGUAGGUGGCAAGGUUGUCCGGAAUUAUUGGGCGUAAAGCGCGCGCAGGUGGUUUCUUAAGUCUGAUGUGAAAGCCCACGGCUUAACCGUGGAGGGUCAUUGGAAACUGGGGGACUUUGGUGCAGAAGAGGAAAGGGGAAAUCCAAGUGUAGCGGUGAAAUUCGUAAGGAUUUGGAGGAACACCCGGGGCGAAGGCGACUUUCUGGGCUGCAACUUACGCUGGGGCGGGAAAGCAUGGGGAGCAAACA
rnacentral:rRNA from 1 species